CGAGGUCAUCCGAGCAGUAACAACGAACCGUGAGAAGUCAGCAGAGGUCAUAGUAACCGGGAAGGGAAAAAAACAUCGACAACCUGGUGAAGGAC
rnacentral:ncRNA from 2 species